GGCUGUCCCAGCUCCUGCGUGAACAAGCUCAAUUGGAGAACAAUAUACAGAUUUUGCUGAAUGAGAAGAGAGAACUGCUGGUGGAGCAGACUGAACUGCCAGCAUCUUCUGUGGAGACAAAGAGGUUCUGAGAAGAGGCUGGAAUGAACAUCUGUGACCCCAGAGCCAAGCAACUGCAGGUCUGAAAUUCUCCAGCCGAAACUCGAACAUGACACAGUCCAGGACAAGAUCUCCCUUGGAGAGAAGUGCUACAGGAGGACUAAGUGUGCACAGCAAAUGCACCACUAUUGCAUCUCAUCUGUACUGUACAUAGCAAUUGUGGACUGCAUUUUCCUCCUUUAGUUUGAUUUCUUUGGAUUGAAUACGCUGUAUUUUCACCUUGCCUCUCUCCAGCAAGUGUACACUUUUCGAGGGACUCAGAGAGGUGCUGAUACACAUCAAUCAAGAGCUGCUGGUCAUCCAGAAAGACUGUGCACGUGUAAAUUUGUACUUGUCCUGAUGGGUCAUCCAGAAGAGUUUCAUGGAGAUCAGUUCACAAUAUUGGAAAGACUUUGUGACAAAGUCUGUAAUAUCAUUUAUACUCAGUAUUGGUAGGCUUUUUCCUUAAUACCCCCACUCCAACAAAACAGACCUACUUCCACUCCUCUCGAAAAGAUUAUUACCAUCACUAACUGCUUGUCUACUAUGUCUCCAAGGCAAGCCAUAGGCUAUAAGUCUAUUCUGCAAAAGGAGCAGCAAAAAAUGCUUAGUGCAAUUCCUCUAUUUAAAGUUUGGUUAAUUUUUAAUUGUUUUGGUUAUUUGGUUUUCCUUCUAUUCAUUUGAAGAUUUGUUAUUUAUGUGUUGUUGUUGUUUUGUUCAUUUGCUUUUCUACUUUGAUAAGGAUAUAGACUGUAUAUAUUGACUACCUGCAUCUGGUUACUAUCAAGUAAAUUGGAUGUAUUCUGGUCAAUAAAGGAGUAAUCUCAAACUCUUCACUCUUAAGAACCUUCUUUAUUGAUGAUUAGUGUCAACAUCUGAAGUCCCACAGCUAUCAGGGAGGGAUGGAUCUCUGCAUUCUCAUGGGGACUGGGCAUCAAAUCACUUCCCAGUCAGACUGAGAUUCACAGGCAUUUAUACAGUCACUGUGCACUGUGUUUCCAACUCUG